UCGAUAUCUUAUUUAUCGAGUUUUACAUUAUUAUUACAAGAUUGGUGAACCCGUACUUCAAUAUACAAGGUUAAUGGAUUGCUUCCACCUGGUAAAGUCUGAGGAUGAUAACUUAUAUUGCAAGCGAAGAGGUUGUUUCUAGGUUUUGAACCCAUCGAUUUAGGGCCACAACAGAACCUGGUCAUAGAACCAUGAUAUUUUAUUCUUUUUGUCCUAUGAAUAAUCAUUUUUUUGUAAUUUGAUUCAUUUUUUUGACCCCUCUUAAUGGUACUAGUGAAUAUUCUUAAAUUAUGUUGUGUAUUGUGCUCAUGAAUCUAGAAAUGAGACAAUUGUUGUAGGGUUCAUCUUUUUCUAAAUCUAGUAUGUAUUACAUGAGUCCAAUUCCUCGUUAGUAAUGAACAGUUCAAUACUGGAUUAUAAGGGGAAACAAUAAUUAUAAUUUAUUUUAAAAAUGAGUAAAAAUUAGGAUGGUUAGAUUUUUAUUUUUGUCAUAAUAAUAGAUUUAUUUUUAGGCUUUUAAACUAUUAUUGAUUAAGGGCUAUUUAUAUAUGAAGCCACUUGUUAAUUGUUAUUGGAAACCAAUACUCUGAAAUUAAGCUAUGCUAUCUAUCAUCCUUAAGAGCCUUGCAAAUUCUGAAUAUCUACAAAUAUCACCAAUGAGUUUUCUGAAGUAUAUAAUAAGUAACAAUUUUUGGAGAUUUAGGGAAAUUAUUGCUAUGUAAGUUUUCUAAAAAUUAAUUGAUUGUUUAUUUUUAAUUUUCUGAAGUUGAUUUUAUUUUUUAUUAGUUUAGAAGGGAUUUGAUAUAAAGAAGUGAGUCAUGGGCCUUCCUCAAAAAAUUUCUCAAAACUAAUUAAAGAAGUUCGUCAACACAUAUUCAUCAUUCUUAAAAUGACAAAUUCCAUUUUAUAAUUCUUUCAUAAAUAAAAGUUCACAUAAAAUAAUAUGUCAAAAUACAAAUAUAAAGUAAUGAUUGGAGACACAAAUCUGAAAGAUAAUAUUUGAUUAAUAAGAUAAUUUAUGUUAACAUGGUCGCAAAAAAAUAAUUUCACCUCACUUAUAGCUUCAUGGUUAGGCAAGCUCUUUUAUUCCGAUUCAUGGUUUUUCUUAGCUAUAUGGUUCAUCCGUGGAGAGAUCGAGUUUCAAGAAACUUCUUCUACUCCUUUCAAAGAACACAUAGUUGUCUCGACUAUGCUAUCGGAGCUUCUGGGAAAGUAUGAAUACAAAAGCACUCGUCUUGGAAUGAGCUUACUACUUAGUUAACAAUUAUUUAUUUCACACUUGGCCUCGUCUUAGGUCUUGACUCACCCUUGACCUUGGUUGAUUGGAGGGACGAGCGCUCAUCUAGCCGCAGUGCUUCAAGGUUUGCUCAAAAUCAUAGCUGGUAUCGAAAUCUCAUUCACAUUGACUUCAAAAUCUGGCGCCGAUGACAUAGAUGAUGAGUUUGCUGAUCUAUAUGUUGUGAAAUGGUCAUCACUUAUGAUACCACCAAUCACAAUCAUAUUGGUUAACUUGAUAGCAAUAGCAGUUGGAGUUGGCAGAACCAUUUACAGUGCUAUACCGCAAUGGAGCCGUUUACUAGGCGGCGUUUUCUUCAGUUUUUGGGUCUUAACUCAUCUCUAUCCGUUCGCAAAAGGUUUGAUGGGAAGAAGAGCGCGGAUACCUACCAUUGUUUAUGUAUGGUCAGGCCUCAUUGCUAUCACAAUCUCUCUUCUCUGGGUAGCAAUUAAUCCUCCUCCUGGCAGUAAACAAAUUGGUGGUUCAUUUCAUUUCCCAUGAUCCUAGUUAACCACCAUGCACUUCAUUUCGAUAUCUUAUUUAUCGAGUUUUACAUUAUUAUUACAAGAUUGGUGAACCCGUACUUCAAUAUACAAGGUUAAUGGAUUGCUUCCACCUGGUAAAGUCUGAGGAUGAUAACUUAUAUUGCAAGCGAAGAGGUUGUUUCUAGGUUUUGAACCCAUCGAUUUAGGGCCACAACAGAACCUGGUCAUAGAACCAUGAUAUUUUAUUCUUUUUGUCCUAUGAAUAAUCAUUUUUUUGUAAUUUGAUUCAUUUUUUUGACCCCUCUUAAUGGUACUAGUGAAUAUUCUUAAAUUAUGUUGUGUAUUGUGCUCAUGAAUCUAGAAAUGAGACAAUUGUUGUAGGGUUCAUCUUUUUCUAAAUCUAGUAUGUAUUACAUGAGUCCAAUUCCUCGUUAGUAAUGAACAGUUCAAUACUGGAUUAUAAGGGGA
rnacentral:lncRNA from 1 species